rnacentral:rRNA from 1 species
ACUCCUACGGGAGGCAGCAGUGGGGAAUCUUAGACAAUGGGCGCAAGCCUGAUCUAGCCAUGCCGCGUGAGUGAUGAAGGUCUUAGGAUCGUAAAGCUCUUUCGCCAGGGAUGAUAAUGACAGUACCUGGUAAAGAAACCCGGCUAACUCCGUGCCAGCAGCCGCGGUAAUACGGAGGGGGUUAGCGUUGUUCGGAAUUACUGGGCGUAAAGCGCGCGUAGGCGGAUUGGAAAGUUGGGGGUGAAAUCCCAGGGCUCAACCCUGGAACUGCCUCCAAAACUCCCAGUCUUGAGUUCGAGAGAGGUGAGUGGAACUCCGAGUGUAGAGGUGAAAUUCGUAGAUAUUCGGAAGAACACCAGUGGCGAAGGCGGCUCACUGGCUCGAUACUGACGCUGAGGUGCGAAAGUGUGGGGAGCAAACAGGAUUAGAUACCCUGGUAGGAUAGCG